rnacentral:rRNA from 1 species
UACGGGGGGGGUAAGCGUUGUUCGGAAUUACUGGGCGUAAAGGGCUCGUAGGCGGCCAACUAAGUCGGACGUGAAAUCCCUCAGCUUAACUGGGGAACUGCGUCCGAUACUGGAUGGCUUGGAUUUGGGAGAGGGAUGCGGAAUUCCAGGUGUAGCGGUGAAAUGCGUAGAUAUCAAGAGGAACACCUGAGGUGAAGACGGGUUGCUGGGCUGACACUGACGCUGAGGCGCGAAAGCUAGGGUAGCAAACGGG